GAACACGGUAAAUUCUUAAUGUCAAACCCUAGAAUCUGCCGCACAAAGCCAAAGUUGGAGUUGCUAGCAGUAGUUCCACCUUGUUUGCUUUGACUGCAGAAGUUUAUAAGCAAGACAGAAAGAUGUAUGCUCGGGAACCAGUUCCUCCAUUCGUUUCAAUAGCAGAAAUGAUGAAAAAGUUCCAAUCUAGCACCAGGGAGAUGUCACUGCCUCCCAUGAGCAAUUCAACUUCA